AUGUCGUCGCCUCAAAGCGUAUCAGUCGAUCAAAUGCGACAAAUACUAAAUGAAAUUAUAGACGCCCUGGAAUCGCCUGAUUAUGCUUCCAAACUCGAUGAAGCUAAAGAAGCAGCUGGUAAUGAGAUGCUGAAAAUGAUGCAAAUAGUCUUUCCCAUGGUCGUGCAAAUAGAAAUGGAAACGAUAAAGCACCAUGGCUUCAAUAAUUCUCGUGAAGGCAUAGUUCAAUUCACUCAGCUUAUUCGUGACCUGGAGAGCAUUGAUGGUGAGGUUGCCCGUCUUCAUACUCAAAUCCGAAGCCACUACCUGCCCCCUGUGUCCAUCAGUUCUUCUGUUGACACAUCUUUGUAAAACAGUAUAAAAGAUAUUAUCAACCUAACUAGAUGUUAGGGAAAGGUCCCAGAAAGCAGACGUUUCUAAUACCUUACAGUUUCUGUGGUCACGGACGACCGGGGUGUUAAUCGUCGAUAUUUAAAUUUUGUGCUAACUACCGUCAAAUUUUAUAUAAAAACUAACUAAAGCAUAUAUUCGGAAUGUCGGAAAUAGUAAAAAGUAAAACCAAUAAAUGAGCUAUUAAACUGUAAAAGUGGUUUUAAUUAAGAUAAAACACGGAAAAAUACGGAAAUCCAGUAAAUUGUUUACAGUACCUAGCGGCAUUUCAAUUGGCACCCAGACGCCUGGGAAAACAUUGUAGUAGCACACUGAUUCAGUAACUGCUCAAGUUUCUUCACUUUUCUGUCUAUUUGUUUAUUAGUCUGUACCUAUGUAUAUUAUCAGGGAAAUAUUCCAAGGAAAUGUGUCACC
rnacentral:misc_RNA from 1 species